rnacentral:rRNA from 1 species
GGUUAAGCGACUAAGCGUACACGGUGGAUGCCCUGGCAGUCAGAGGCGAUGAAGGACGUGCUAAUCUGCGAAAAGCGUCGGUAAGGUGAUAUGAACCGUUAUAACCGGCGAUGUCCGAAUGGGGAAACCCAGUGUGAUUCGUCACACUAUCGUUAACUGAAUACAUAGGUUAACGAGGCGAACCGGGGGAACUGAAACAUCUAAGUACCCCGAGGAAAAGAAAUCAACCGAGAUUCCCCCAGUAGCGGCGAGCGAACGGGGAGCAGCCCAGAGUCUGAAUCAGCUUGUGUGUUAGUGGAACGGUCUGGAAAGUCCGACGGUACAGGGUGAUAGUCCCGUACACCAAAAUGCACAGGCUGUGAACUCGAAGAGUAGGGCGGGACACGUGGUAUCCUGUCUGAAUAUGGGGGGACCAUCCUCCAAGGCUAAAUACUCCUGACUGACCGAUAGUGAACCAGUACCGUGAGGGAAAGGCGAAAAGAACCCCGGCGAGGGGAGUGAAAAAGAACCUGAAACCGUGUACGUACAAGCAGUGGGAGCACCUUCGGGUGUGACUGCGUACCUUUUGUAUAAUGGGUCAGCGACUUAUAUUCUGUAGCAAGGUUAACCGUAUAGGGGAGCCGCAGGGAAACCGAGUCUUAACUGGGCGUUAAGUUGCAGGGUAUAGACCCGAAACCCGGUGAUCUAGCCAUGGGCAGGUUGAAGGUUGGGUAACACUAACUGGAGGACCGAACCGACUAAUGUUGAAAAAUUAGCGGAUGACUUGUGGCUGGGGGUGAAAGGCCAAUCAAACCGGGAGAUAGCUGGUUCUCCCCGAAAGCUAUUUAGGUAGCGCCUCGUGAAUUCAUCUUCGGGGGUAGAGCACUGUUUCGGCUAGGGGGUCAUCCCGACUUACCAACCCGAUGCAAACUACGAAUACCGAAGAAUGUUAUCACGGGAGACACACGGCGGGUGCUAACGUCCGUCGUGAAGAGGGAAACAACCCAGACCGCCAGCUAAGGUCCCAAAGUCAUGGUUAAGUGGGAAACGAUGUGGGAAGGCACAGACAGCCAGGAUGUUGGCUUAGAAGCAGCCAUCAUUUAAAGAAAGCGUAAUAGCUCACUGGUCGAGUCGGCCUGCGCGGAAGAUGUAACGGGGCUAAACCAUGCACCGAAGCUGCGGCAGCGACACUAUGUGUUGUUGGGUAGGGGAGCGUUCUGUAAGCCUGCGAAGGUGACCUGUGAGGGUUGCUGGAGGUAUCAGAAGUGCGAAUGCUGACAUAAGUAACGAUAAAGCGGGUGAAAAGCCCGCUCGCCGGAAGACCAAGGGUUCCUGUCCAACGUUAAUCGGGGCAGGGUGAGUCGACCCCUAAGGCGAGGCUGAAAGGCGUAGUCGAUGGGAAACAGGUUAAUAUUCCUGUACUUGGUGUUACUGCGAAGGGGGGACGGAGAAGGCUAUGUUAGCCGGGCGACGGUUGUCCCGGUUUAAGCAUGUAGGCUGAUUGUCCAGGCAAAUCCGGAUAAUCAAGGCUGAGGUGUGAUGACGAGGCACUACGGUGCUGAAGUAACAAAUGCCCUGCUUCCAGGAAAAGCCUCUAAGCAUCAGGUAACAUCAAAUCGUACCCCAAACCGACACAGGUGGUCAGGUAGAGAAUACCAAGGCGCUUGAGAGAACUCGGGUGAAGGAACUAGGCAAAAUGGUGCCGUAACUUCGGGAGAAGGCACGCUGGUGUGUAGGUGAAGUCCCUGCGGAUGGAGCUGAGACCAGUCGAAGAUACCAGCUGGCUGCAACUGUUUAUUAAAAACACAGCACUGUGCAAACACGAAAGUGGACGUAUACGGUGUGACGCCUGCCCGGUGCCGGAAGGUUAAUUGAUGGGGUUAUCCGUAAGGAGAAGCUCUUGAUCGAAGCCCCGGUAAACGGCGGCCGUAACUAUAACGGUCCUAAGGUAGCGAAAUUCCUUGUCGGGUAAGUUCCGACCUGCACGAAUGGCGUAAUGAUGGCCAGGCUGUCUCCACCCGAGACUCAGUGAAAUUGAACUCGCUGUGAAGAUGCAGUGUACCCGCGGCAAGACGGAAAGACCCCGUGAACCUUUACUAUAGCUUGACACUGAACAUUGAGCCUUGAUGUGUAGGAUAGGUGGGAGGCUUUGAAGCGUGGACGCCAGUCUGCGUGGAGCCAACCUUGAAAUACCACCCUUUAAUGUUUGAUGUUCUAACGUUGGCCCCUUAUCGGGGUUGCGGACAGUGUCUGGUGGGUAGUUUGACUGGGGCGGUCUCCUCCCAAAGCGUAACGGAGGAGCACGAAGGUUAGCUAAUCCUGGUCGGACAUCAGGAGGUUAGUGCAAUGGCAUAAGCUAGCUUGACUGCGAGCGUGACGGCGCGAGCAGGUGCGAAAGCAGGUCAUAGUGAUCCGGUGGUUCUGAAUGGAAGGGCCAUCGCUCAACGGAUAAAAGGUACUCCGGGGAUAACAGGCUGAUACCGCCCAAGAGUUCAUAUCGACGGCGGUGUUUGGCACCUCGAUGUCGGCUCAUCACAUCCUGGGGCUGAAGUAGGUCCCAAGGGUAUGGCUGUUCGCCAUUUAAAGUGGUACGCGAGCUGGGUUUAGAACGUCGUGAGACAGUUCGGUCCCUAUCUGCCGUGGGCGCUGGAGAAUUGAGGGGGGCUGCUCCUAGUACGAGAGGACCGGAGUGGACGCAUCACUGGUGUUCGGGUUGUCAUGCCAAUGGCACUGCCCGGUAGCUAAAUGCGGAAGAGAUAAGUGCUGAAAGCAUCUAAGCACGAAACUUGCCCCGAGAUGAGUUCUCCCUGAGACUUUAAGUCUCCUGAAGGAACGUUAAAGACGAUGACGUUGAUAGGCCGGGUGUGUAAGCGCAGCGAUGCGUUGAGCUAACCGGUACUAAUGAACCGUGAGGCUUAACCUU